GCUGGGUGCAGUGGUGCACACCUGUAAUCCCAGCGGCUUGGGAGGCUGGGGCAGGAUGACUGUGAGUCCAAAGCCAGCAUCAGCAACAGUGAGGUGCUAAGCAACUUGCUGAGACCCUGUCUCUA
rnacentral:sRNA from 1 species